rnacentral:misc_RNA from 1 species
CACAGAGUCCCUCAUGACAAGUCAAGCUUUACAACACUUUCACAACAGUUCCAUCGAAACACAGACAGGUAGCCAAACAAGUAUAACAUCGUCCAAACCACUGGAGGUUGUUUCCAUGGAAACGGUUGCCGGUAACGAAGUGGAGAUACAUCCGUCCAGCAAUUUCCCAGGGGAGAUGUCAUACACGUCUUGUCUGGUCUGUGGGGAUCGAGCGUCAGGGUAUCACUACUCCGUGUUCUCAUGCGAGGGUUGCAAGGGCUUUUUCAAGAGGACUGUUCAAAAAAAUUUAACGUAUUGCUGCAAGGAAGGCGGCACCUGUGAAAUCAACAAAUAUACUCGAAACAGCUGUCAAGCGUGCCGCUUUAACAAGUGCCUUCAGAUGGGGAUGAAGCGAGAAGCUGUCCGAGAAGACCGAUCUCCUGGAGGAAAGCAUAGAUUAAAACGACGUAUGGAUGAGACGUCUCCCCUUGUUAUGUCUGAUGGCCUCAUUGGAUUUCCACAAGGGCAGAGAAAGGAGUUCAUUGAUCCUCUGGUGGAAAGUCUGAUCGAAGCAGGGCCAGACGUGAUUCCCAAAUAUGAAGGAGGUCUGACGGCUGGUAUCAGCGUGAACGAGCUGAUGCAGUGUGGGUACUCUGAACUAAAAUACAUCAUCGAGUGGGCCAAGAAGGUACCAGGUUUCAGUGAUCUAGGCAUGGUGGACCAGAUGGCCUUGUUGAAAUCUUCCUUCAUGGAAUUGAACGUACUGAGGUUAGCAUACAGAUCCAUGGGGUUAGACAACACAAUCAAGUUUGCUGAGGGGCUGUUGGUUCCGUCCGAGAUCGCCCAGACGAUGGGUUGGGGGAAGGAACUGAUCAACGCAACGCUGGAGUUUGCCAUUAGACUGAAGGAAGUCCACCUUGACCAUGCUGAAUUCUGUAUAUUGAAUGCCUUGGUCCUCACUUACCCCGAUGCAGUAGGUAUACAGAACAAGGAGAGCGUGAUCACACUUCAGAUUGAGAUCCUGGAAGCAAUGCUGCGCUACAUGAAGUUCCACUAUCCAUUAGAAACACGCAGAUAUGGCAAGAUGUUGCUACGGUUACCAGCUUUACGGACAGUGAGCGAUAAGGCAGCAGAACGUUUCCUGUCCCUGACUUUGGACGGCAGCAUCCAGUUGAAUGAACUUGUCCUGGAAAUGAUCAAUUAAGUGACAGUGUAUUACAGGAAAGGUGGUUGUGCUUGACUGACUCUUCAAGGGUCAAAUGUUGCUUUAUCUGUACCCAGUGGACUGUGUAGUCAUGGCAACAAAUGUUAUUCCAGCAACAGUUACGCACUGAUUUUAUUGAAUCUCACAUUAUUGUCACCUACGCUUCAUCACGUGAGCAUGUCAUAAUGAAAUGUUUCUUUGGUAAUAUGAAGUGGAUGAGAAGCGAGCAAGCGUUGUCACGGUAACAAGGUGUUGAUGAUAUUGUAACUUAUGCUUUAUACGCCACCAUAUACCUGGAAUAUUGCUGAGUGCGGCAUAAACCUAAACUCAAUCACUCACUCUGCUAUGUUGGACAAAACUCUCCUAUGGAUGUUGGACGUCAAUCAUGCACGUUUUGUAUGGAAGAUGCAUGGCAGAGUUUAUCUGCAUCUCCCAUGGUACUUCAGUGCGAAGAACCCACUACCAGGACAACCAGAUAGACCUACCCUAUCUCUUUUGUCCACUAUCCUCGGGCCAGAUGGCAUCAAAGACCUCCCGCUUUGUCCGGUCAGAGCACUUAGAAUCUACAUUGCUGCAUCUCUAGACCGUUGUAGGUUGUGUAAGCGCCUCUUCAUCCCACUCUCUACAGCUUCAUCAGUGGAAGGCUCUCGUAGAACACCCGCCUUCUGGAUGAGAUCUAUCAUCUUACAAGCUUACACAUUCGCUGGUCUUUUUCCUCCAGCUGCGUCGAACCCUCAUGAGACUCGGGCUCUGGCAUCAACUAUGGCGCUUCACAGCAACUCUUCCCUGACUUCCAUCAUGGAGGAAUGCUAUGGUAACAUGACAGAAGAGAUGUUCCUUUCUUAAAUGACCUGGAAGAGACAAGAUGUUGCUAUGGUACCCGGACAAGCAAGAGACACACUUGAUGUUACUACAACAACAAUACAUUCUGUAAGAGACACGCUGCAUAUUGCAGUGUUAAAAUUUAAGGAAAGAGACACUAUUCUUUUGGACAAUGAUAUCCUUAAAUGGCAGAGAAUAGAUGUUGAUGUGUUGCUAUGGUAAUAAGAGAGGAGACAUAGUGUGUUGCCUUGGUAACAUGACAUGGAUGUUGUUAAGAUGGAUGUUGAUACGUGUACACUGUAGCGAACUGACAUUUGGUUGUUUUACCAAGAUGACAACCAAACAACCAUACAUGUAUGCGAAUCUGUUACCAUGGUGAAUGAUUUACUGAAGUGGAGUCAACGAAAUCUUUCAUUACACAAUACAGUUCUCUGUUGUAGAUUAUCAUGGCUUAUGUUUCUUCCAUUGAAUAACUAAAUUUGCUCUUGUAUAGUCUA